AGCUGGAAUUGCAAUUGCAUUU
rnacentral:miRNA from 1 species